rnacentral:sRNA from 1 species
CUUAUUUCCAAAUAUAUGAAUCAGGAAAUAAUAAAAGAA